AACGUAGGAGACAAACGUUAUCCGGAGUUACUGGGCGUAAAGGGCGUGUAGGUGGUUUCGUAAGUCUGGCGUGAAAUUUUUCGGCUUAACCGGGAAAGGUCGUCGGAUACUGCGGAGCUAGAGGACGGUAGAGGCGUGUGGAAUUCCGGGUGUAGUGGUGGAAUGCGUAGAUAUCGGGAGGAACACCAGUGGCGAAGGCGGUUGCCUGGAGCUUUGCUGACGCUGAGGCGCGAAAGCGUGGGGAGCGAUCCGG
rnacentral:rRNA from 1 species